ensembl:lncRNA
GCUAUUUGCUGCCAGAAAAGCACCUUGGAUAUCUGGUUAAUGUCUCUUUUUUUUUUUCCCUAUAGGAAUUUUAAUGCAUCUUUGUGAAACACUAAAUUGCAGGAGCUCUUCCCAGGACAGCUGGGCAUGGAGCAGCAGAGGGAGCAAACCCAUCACUUCAGGCAGAUCUCUAAGAAAGGAAUGGGGGAUGGAAAAUGGGCAAGGGGAUGUGUAAGGCUCUGGAUGGUGAAUUCCUACUGCUCUGGAGUACAGAGCAGAUCAUGACUGAGUCACACAUGGAACAAGUUUAUUCUCAGUCACCAGAAUGGCAGAGCAGGAGAGCAGCAAGUGGCUGAAUUCCAAGAAAGCCAUGGAGUGGAAGUGAGGGUUCAUACAGUGUGUGUUUAAGGUUAGUGUGUCUUCAGCUGUGGCUCAGGCUGCAAAAAGAAGCAUUGCAGAACCAGGCAGUGAAGACACAGCCCAUAAAAGGCCAACUGCCAUUGUGAUGAUUGUAGAUUCAGAAUUACUGUUGAGAAGGAUGUUGCAUACAAGUGGAGUUGUUUCCUCUUUCAACUGAAGCCAAACCAACAGAAUUUCAUUAACUUCUUCUCCCUCUUCUUUGCCCCAGCUGUGUGAUCUAAUACAGCAGUAUGGAUGCUGGAAGCUUGGCUCAAAAACCAGCUGGAUACAUUGAUGGAACAAAAAUAAUGAGCUGCCAUUAAAUAUAGACAUCACCUCUGUUUGUCUGGGAGAUAGAACCCUGGAAAUAAAGGAAUUAGCCUGAAUUCAUUAUUGCUUUGUUUCUGUGCUCUAAUUUAGGCAUCUUCUCUUGGCCCCUAGGGCAGGACACUGAGUUAGGUUUUACUCUUUGUGGUACAUAUUUUCUUAUACUCUUGUAUUCAUUUCUGUUGAUUUUUUGGCCUCCUCUUAUAUUCAUUUCUGUUGAUUUUUUGGCCUCUGUGCUAUGUCUUAUUGCUUUGGGUUCAAUCAUCCCGGAUCCAGCAAAUGAUGUGGGGUUACCACAGCUACAGCUGCACAGAAGGACAAGGCCAUGUGCUGGCAAUGGAAUUACUGGUUGAACUGGAAGCCAGGGAGUGUUUUACAGACCACCUUCCACUGCAGAGUGCCCAGGGACUGCUGGAGUGCCAGGAAUCCCAGCUGCACAGUGCUCCUCCAGCAGAGCUGUUGGAACCUUGGAGCAGAAAGAUAAUCAGCAAAGAUUGGCUGAUGAGCCAAGGCUGCAGCAAAGAACCAGGUUGGUUUGGUGCUUUCUUUUUUUUUCCAUGGUCAGCAGUGCUUUUUCUGUUUUGCCAUUUUGGUUGGUUGAUGUGUAUGUCACUAAUUCACACACACUGAUGCUGUAUGUGUCUUUAAAUUUUGAGAAAUCAAAAUGUUUAUUCAAGCCUUUGCUGUGCUAGAGGAAAAAAUACUGCAUGGUUUUCCAUAUAACAUAGACAACAGGUUCUUCUUUACUCUGGACUGAAUUAAAGAUUUGCAUCCUUAUCCACAGGGAAAUUAGUGGUUCAGGAAGAGUCUGGGAAUGGUAGCAGAACUAAUGUCUGUCUGGAAAAAACCAGACUUGGGUAAACUUGGGAAUGGACAAAGGAAAGAACAGAACAAGGGCCAAAUCAACAGAGUCAUUGUUGUGGUACAGGUGAUAGGAGGAGCAAACCCUUCCCAAAGAAAGAGGAGCCUGGCAACUGCAAUAACCCCCCAAAGCCUAAACAAAUGAGAAAGGAGAGGUGAGCUUUCUCUCAAUAUAGCAUUUAUUAUUAUACUGAAAUUGCCAUAGCAAUAAAGCUACAGCUAUUUAUUAUAGCA